CGUGUAGGUGGAACUUUAAGUCGGUGGUGAAAGCCUGCAGCUUAACUGCAGAACUGCCCUCGAUACUGAAGUUCUUGAGUACGGCAGAGGGAGAUGGAAUUCAUGGUGUAGCGGUGAAAUGUGUAGAUAUCAUGAAGAACGCCGGUAGCGAAGGCGGUCUCCUGGUCCGUAACUGACACUGAGGCGCGAAAGCGUGGGGAGCAAACAGGAUUAGAUACCCUGGUAGUCCACGCCUUAAACGAUGGGUACUAGGUGCUGGGCCGCAAGGUUCAGUGCCAAAGCUAACGCAUUAAGUACCCCACCUGGGGAGUACGAUCGCAAGGUUGAA
rnacentral:rRNA from 1 species